AAAUAAACUCAAAAGUACUUAUCAAUGUUAUAUAAUUUUAUAAAGUAUAUGAAUAAUUUUUAAUUUUAAAAUAUAUUUAAAAAGAGUAGAAAGCUUGUUUUGGAUGAGUAAAAACAAUAAUAAUAAUAAAAUAGAAAGUUGAACUCAAACCAAACAAGACCUUGUUUUUUACCUUCCCUCCCAAUUUCCCCUCUCAGUUUUUUUUUUUUUGCUGCUAGGUAAAACCCCUAUUCUAUCUCCACGAUUUUCACCUUGCACAGCCAUUCUCUCACGAUUGGAAAUUCUCUCCCUCUCACAAUCGCACACUCGCAUAGGUAUUUGUCGACCGUCAGGUUUUCGCCAUUUACCGUUGUUGUGCUACACCAUCGCCUCUUCAUUCUAGCUCAGGAAAAUGCUUGGUUUUUGGGCAGGUCAUCGCAAUUCUGAAAUGAGAGCUGCACUAGCAAGUGAAUGAGAGAAUGACACAGAACUUGAUAUCCAGAACAACAGAAUAACUAGAGGCACUGGACAUUUGGUAUACCUACAGAAAUUCUAUACCACGAAGUUCUGCAUAUGCCCGGUGGUUCAUAAGUCAAUAGUGAUCGCAUAGCAGACUCUAUACAUUAUGGAUGUGUACCUGAUUGAUUUAACAAUGUUUGGUGGUGAACUAUUGUCCCAGGAAGGCCUCUCAUGAGAAGGAAUUGCUUCAGGUACUUGACGUUUCCCAGUUAUCCAUGUAACCUGGGAUUCUUCAUUUUUAAAAAGCAAACAUGUUUCACUUAUAAAAGUUUUAACUUAUGCAUGCUUCGGAUUUAAUUAAUCAAAAAGGAAAAAAAAAGAAAAAGAAAGAGGCAAACAAGUUGAACAUGUUAUUUAUGGUAUGCACGUAUAUC